GCCCGGAGCCCCGGAGCUCGCCGCCGCCUUCUCCCGACGGCCGCGCACAAGUGGCGGCGAGGCUCCGUGGCAUCGGAGCGAGAGAGGCAGCGAGCCGGAGCGAGGAACGGGGCGGGGAUGGACGGGGACCCACAAUCAUGGAAGUGCAUCUUAAGUAGGAGGCUGCCUAGAACUGAAGGAUCCUGGAAUGCUAAAUUAUUACCCAGCACAACUGCCCCGGAGAGUCGCAGGACCUACAACAGAAUCUACAUGAGUGAGAAAUAAACUUGUGCUGGAUUAAGCCACUAACACCCUGGAGUGGCUGUUGCCUGGUAUUGCUUAGCCUACCUUAUGUACACAGUAUUUCCCCCUUAUCCGAGAUUGUGCUGUGUGGUUCUAGUUACCCGUGGCCAAUGGCAACCAGAAAAUGUUAAAUGGAAAAAUUCUAGACAUAAACAGCAAGUUUUAAACUAACUACCAUUAUGAAGAGUGUGAUGAAGUCUCCAGAAUCCAGCUCCAUCCCACUUGGUCAUGAAUCAUCCCCUUGACCACUGUCUCCACGCUGUAUAAGCUCCCCAUCCUAUAGUUAUCUCGUAGCCAUCUCGGUCAGAAUAUGGCAGUGGCUGUGUUCAAGUAACCCUUAUUUUACUUAAUAAUGGACCCGAAGCAUAAGAGAAAAAUUUUAUCUUCAAGUUCUAUAAAAGUGCUGGCAAUUCGUAUAUGCCAAAGAAAACCAGUAGAGUCCUUCCUUUAAGCGAAAAGGUAAG